GUGUCAGCCGCCGCGGUAAUACGAAGGGGGCUAGCGUUGUUCGGAAUUACUGGGCGUAAAGCGCACGUAGGCGGACUAUUAAGUCAGGGGUGAAAUCCCGGGGCUCAACCCCGGAACUGCCUUUGAUACUGGUAGUCUCGAGUCCGGAAGAGGUGAGUGGAAUUCCGAGUGUAGAGGUGAAAUUCGUAGAUAUUCGGAGGAACACCAGUGGCGAAGGCGGCUCACUGGUCCGGUACUGACGCUGAGGUGCGAAAGCGUGGGGAGCAAACAGGAUUAGAAACCCCCGUAGUCC
rnacentral:rRNA from 1 species